UACAGAGGGUGCAAGCGUUAAUCGGAUUUACUGGGCGUAAAGCGUGCGUAGGCGGUUCAGUAUGUCGGUCGUGAAAUCCCCGGGCUUAACCUGGGAACUGCGGCCGAAACUGCUGGGCUUGAGUGUGGUAGAGGAAGGUGGAAUUCCAGGUGUAGCGGUGAAAUGCGUAGAUAUCUGGAGGAACACCGAUGGCGAAGGCAGCCUUCUGGGCCACAACUGACGCUGAGGUACGAAAGCGUGGGUAGCAAACAGG
rnacentral:rRNA from 2 species